CCUUUGUACACACCGCCCGUCGCUACUACCGAUUGAAUGGCUCAGUGAGGCUUUCGGACUGGCCCAGAGAGGUCGGCAACGACCACUCAGGGCCGGAAAGUUAUCCAAACUCGGUCAUUUAGAGG
rnacentral:rRNA from 1 species